rnacentral:lncRNA from 1 species
AGAGGAACAGUCAGAACCGACAGGGAGAGGGAGAUGAGAUGAGAAGAGGAACAGUCAGAACCAACAGGGAGAGGGAGAUGAGAAGAGGAACAGUCAGAACCAACAGGGAGAGGGAGAUGAGAAGAGGAACAGUCAGAACCGACAGGGAGAGGGAGAUGAGAUGAGAAGAGGAACAGUCAGAACCAACAGGGAGAGGGAGAUGAGAUGAGAAGAGGAACAGUCAGAACCAAUAGGGAGAGGAAGAUGAGAUGAGAAGGGGAACAGUCAGAACCGACAGGGAGAGGGAGAUGAGAUGAGAAGAGGAACAGUCAGAACCAACAGGGAGAGGGAGAUGAGAUGAGAAGAGGAACAGUCAGAACCGACAGGGAGAGGGAGAUGAGAUGAGAAGAGGAACAGUCAGAACCAACAGGGAGAGGGAGAUGAGAUGAGAAGAGGAACAGUCAGAACCAACAGGGAGAGGAAGAUGAGAUGAGAAGGGGAACAGUCAGAACCGACAGGGAGAGGGAGAUGAGAAGAGAAGAGGAACAGUCAGAACCGACAGGGAGAGGGAGAUGAGAAGAGGAACAGUCAGAACCGACAGGGAGAGGGAGAUGAGAUGAGAAGAGGAACAGUCAGAACCAACAGGGAGAGGGAGAUGAGAUGAGAAGAGGAACAGUCAGAACCGACAGGGAGAGGGAGAUGAGAUGAGAAGAGGAACAGUCAGAACCGACAGGGAGAGGGAGAUGAGAUGAGAAGAGGAACA